UACGUAGGGUGCAAGCGUUGUCCGGAAUUAUUGGGCGUAAAGAGCUCGUAGGCGGUUUGUCGCGUCUGCUGUGAAAACUCGGGGCUUAACCCCGGGCCUGCAGUGGGUACGGGCAGACUAGAGUGCGGUAGGGGAGACUGGAAUUCCUGGUGUAGCGGUGAAAUGCGCAGAUAUCAGGAGGAACACCGGUGGCGAAGGCGGGUCUCUGGGCCAUCACUGACGCUGAGCUGCGAAAGCUAGGGGAGCAAACAGG
rnacentral:rRNA from 1 species